GCAGGGGGGAGUGGCGCGUGGCGAGAGCCGCCCGCUGACGACACCAACGGUCCAACCCAUCCCAAAUCCUCCAGACUAGUCACGGUGGUGGGUUGCGGUGGCGCCGCCGCCGCCUCCGCUGCUUGGCUCGCCUGGGCUCGACGGCGAGCUCUGGGCACGCAGCUCGCAGAGAGAAGGGGCAUGCGUGCUGCUCGUCAAAUCGUCGGUCCCGGCAGCGCGCCGGGUCCUCCUCCCGACCCCGAGCCCACGGCAUCAGGCAGGAGAAAAAUUCAUCAAAUUAUGAAGCAACAAUUAAUGGUCUUGGUACCUGCUGAACCAGUUCCUCAGGUGCGCUCUUUGCCUCUGAGCUCUGCUCAUUGUCCCUCAUCUCUGCACAAGUGAAGUUCAUGCAAGCAUAGUGCCUUGUGAGCAUGUGUGCUAUGGUUCUGUAGCCAUCUCUGUCAUCUAAGUUGUAGUAUCCGGCAGUGAGCUCAGCUGCGUGAUUGGGAACUCUAUACCACCAGUGUAUGCCAGAGAUCUGCAAAAGAUAUAUUGGAGCAUGUCAUAUUUUGUGUUUCAGAUUCGCCCAUAUAUGUGUAGAUAUCUCUUACUUUGUGUUCACCUGAAAGGCUGAAACUUAUGCAUAUGUUAUUAUUAAGCAAACACAUUGAAAUCAAUGGAAAAUUCUAGGCUGGUUUGUUCUCCAUUGUACUUACUUUGAUUGCCAGCUGCACUGUGCAUCCCAGGAAGACCUUGUUUGCUUCAUCCAAGAUAUUGUCACCGUGCUUGAUCAGUUUGUUGGAGUACCAUGUGAGGAAGAACUUUCCCUUCUCAGUCUGGUAUGUUCCAUUUUCUGCAAAGAACUGGGUGUUCUCGGGAGUGUCAUUGUACUCCCCAGCAUCAUCUGGCAAUUCCCACUCAGGAUGCCCAGCCUCUGCUGCUGCUGCUUUGAAGUCUGCUUCCAGUUUCCAGCGGAGAUCAACCCUUGGGGCCAAGAUUAGAGUAUUAGACAUCUCUGCCUGGGAAAGGCGCAUCACAGGGACAUAUCUCCUUCAUUUUAUUAAAGUAAAGGUGGAAGAAUAUUUAUUUCUGGAAAGAGUACUCACUAUGAACUCUCCGAUUCCUGGGAACACCCAUCCCUGGCUCUGUGGAUAGGAGGGGUACCUCAUCUCUCCAGCAGGGCCAAGUCCGACCUCAAUGUCCACGAUGACACCAGCAUCCAGGAACUCUGCCAUGUUCUCCCUGAAGCUCUUCAUGUAAUCAGCAUACAACUGUCACAGACAGAGAUGCCCCAAGAUAGCACAUCAGGAUCACAAGAAAACUUGAUUUUGCCAAGGAUAAAUGGUUCUGCCGCAUGUGCUAGACUGAAGAGAGUUCAACUCAGCUAACCUGAAUUGCAGUUCUCCCCUGGAAGAUAGGCUGAUCGUCCACUCCAAGAGUGAGAUACUCAAUGUUCCUCGUCCCCCUCCGGUUGGUGUAGAAGAUGUCGGGGUUGGCCUCCCCGAUGUCCCGCACCCACUGCGGGAUCGGGAUGUUGACGACGUCACCGACGUUGCCGCCGCACUGGUGGCACGACAUGAUGGCCUGCAGCUUCAGCCCGGCCUCCUGCACCAGUUUGAACACCUGCUUGUAGGCGCUCCAGUCGUAGACCCCGGGCGCCUUCCGUUCCACCAGCCCCCACCAGACGUCGAUCAUGACCCCGUCGACGCCCGCCUCCGUCAGCUUCUUCAGCUGCGCCCUCGUCUCGUCGGCCUUCUCGAACGUGUUGUCGACGGUGAUGAUAUCCAGCUAUACGUUCCUCAAACGAAGAGCGGAAGAAACAAGAAAGGGAGCCUGGGGGGCUAUUUAUACAGGGGAGCUAGGGAGAGGACUGGAGGAGGGAGCGGCGCACUUUCGGUUCAGCCGGUACAAGCUGCUGUCCCCCAGGAAGAGGGUGCAGGUGCGCUGUUACUGUGUGAACUGUGAACUGAUGAUUUUGGCUACCACCCCGAGCUGGGAACCUCUCAUUAAUGGUGCUAUAAUCGGAUUACCAUCGUGAUUCGCCGGCCUGAAGAGCCUGCCAAUAAUUGUACUGAACUUCUGAAGGCCGGUGAGAAUUUAUAUUUUCCGGUUACUGAAGGCCGAGCACAGCAGAUUAUGCUGUUGUCAGAUGUGCAUGCUGUCUGAUGCUAAUGUUACAGCAGACAGUUGCAGGCCUCGCACGUUCCAUGGUAAAAGUAUGUUUCCAGAAGAGUGAAAAUGGCACUAGAAAAGUAGGGUUACAAAAAUAUCUGCAUGAUUCAAAUCAAGGACCACGUGGAUACCUGCUAUACCAUGUAGGUAUGUGGCAUGUUCAUAUGCUAGUACUGGAUAGCAUAUGAACAUGCCACGUCAUAUAGGUACGUACCUGCAUGAUAUAGCACAUGUAGAGCAUAUGAACAUGCCACGUACCUGCAUGGUAUUUGGGGUGGUAAAAGUAUUUGAACCCACCGCCGUGAGUGGUCCGGAGGAUUUGGGGCGGAUGCCUAGGUACGUACCUACAUGGUAUAUUUCAUUUCAUGCUUUUUAUUUUAUUUAUUUUUGGUAAGGAUUCAUGCCUGUUA